GACGAACGCUGGCGGCGUGCUUAACACAUGCAAGUCGAACGGAAAGGCCCUGCUUGCAGGGUACUCGAGUGGCGAACGGGUGAGUAACACGUGGGUGAUCUGCCCUGCACUUCGGGAUAAGCCUGGGAAACUGGGUCUAAUACCGGAUAGGAGCCAUUUUUAGUGUGAUGGUUGGAAAGUUUUUUUCGGUGUAGGAUGAGCUCGCGGCCUAUCAGCUUGUUGGUGGGGUAAUGGCCUACCAAGGCGGCGACGGGUAGCCGGCCUGAGAGGGUGGACGGCCACAUUGGGACUGAGAUACGGCCCAGACGCCUACGGGAGGAAGAAGGGGGGAAGAUUGAACAAGGGGCGCAAGCCGGAUGCAGCGACGCCGCGGGGGGGAUGACGGCCUUCGGGUUGUAAACUCCUUUCGCUAGGGACGAAGCUUUUUGUGACGGUACCUAGAUAAGAAGCACCGGCUAACUACGUG
rnacentral:rRNA from 1 species